AUACGGAGGGUGAAAGCGUUAAUCGGAAUUACUGGGCGUAAAGCGCACGCAGGCGGUCAAUUAAGUCAAAUGUGAAAGCCCCGCGCUUAACUUGGGACUUGCAUCUGAAACUGGUUGGUUAGAGUCUUGUAGAGGGGGGCAGUAUUCCCCGUGUAGCGGUGAAAUGCGUAGAGAUGUGGAGGAAUACCGGUGGCGAAGGCGGCCCCCUGGACAAAGACUGACGCUCAGGUGCGAAAGCGUGGGGAGCAAACAGGAUUAGAUACCCUGGUAGUCCACGCUGUAAACGAUGUCGAUUUAGAGGUUGUGGUCUUGAACUGUGGCUUCUGGAGCUAACGCGUUAAAUCGACCGCCUGGGGAGUACGGCCGCAAGGUUAAAACUCAAAUGAAUUGGCGGGG
rnacentral:rRNA from 1 species